GAAUGGUGUCUCCCUGGUGCCUAUGUGCAAGGAGCCUUCAGUAGGUGAGUCCUUCCCUCCCUGCGUGUACAGAGCUGCUGAGCCUCCUUAGGAAGAGGAAGAUUGCCUUGCCGUAAUAAACACCGUUGAUCUCUUUGCGGUAGCCAAGGAAGGGCAUGAUGGAGUCGAUCAGGCCAUGUGGCAUCUGAUCCAUUUCGGAGAAGAU